rnacentral:lncRNA from 1 species
AAUCAUCUUGUCAUUUUAAAGAAGCAAUUAAGUUUGUCAUUUAUAAUAAUUAAGAAAGGAAAACUCUCCAAGCAUGGAUUUUUUGUAAAAGCGAAUGAGUAGGCAAGUUUAAUGAGAAGAUGGUAGCAGCAAUUCUAUUGAGAUUAUCAAUGAUACAAAUAACUACUACCAUCUUCCUGAAGCUUGAGCUCUCCAUUUCCAAACGAAUUGUCUCAAUAUAAGAUGGUGUGACAUGCCUCAUCAGACUUUCAAAUUCUGAAUUCACCGGUGGUUCAUGUAAUUGGGCAAGGAUGGUGUGCAAGAGGUUUGGGGUUUAUGUUAUUUGCAAGGAUCAUGCUUGUGAACAUUUCAUUAUAGACAUGGGAAUUCUUAUCAUGCCUUUGUUUAUUGCAGCAUCAAUAGAGCUUAGGGGAAGAUAAUUCUUAAUGUGGGAGAGUACCUUCUACAGUUACAAGAACUGAUGGACAUAAAAAUGUAAUUGCAAAAAUUCAUGAAAAGAAGUUCAGGAGAACUAAUGAUAGAUGCAAAAACAUCAACAGAAAGGAUGUAAUGCAGUACCAGUACUAUAAAAUUUUGCAGCUCAACAGAAAUUGCAGUUUAAAUUUUUUGCUCUGAUCAACUGAAAUAUCGAAGUUAGGUUUAUAUGUUUG